rnacentral:misc_RNA from 1 species
AACGCACCUUGCGCCCCUUGGUAUUCCGAGGAGCAUGCCUGUUUGAGUGUCAUAAAAUUCUCAACCCUUUCAGCCUUUUAUUUAUUUAUUUGGUUGAUGAGGGAUUGGAUGUGGGAGCUUGCGGGCUUUCUCAGAAGUCGGCUCUCCUUAAACGCAUUAGCGGGACCUUUGUUGCCUAGCUUUGGUGUGAUAAUUAUCUAUGCCAUUUGCUCAAGCAGCUUAUAAUGAGGUCAAGCUUCUAAUUAAAUGCAACUUAUGACAAUUUGACCUCAAAUCAGGUAGGACUACCCGCUGAACUUAA